rnacentral:rRNA from 1 species
AUUGAACGCUGGCGGCAUGCCUUACACAUGCAAGUCGAACGGCAGCACGGGGGGUAACCCCUGGUGGCGAGUGGCGAACGGGUGAGUAAUAUAUCGGAACGUACCCUGUAGCGGGGGAUAACCUAUCGAAAGAUGGACUAAUACCGCAUACGACCUACGGGUGAAAGCGGAGGACCGCAAGGCUUCGCACUAUAGGAGCGGCCGAUAUCGGAUUAGCUAGUUGGUGGGGUAAAGGCCUACCAAGCCAACGAUCUGUAGCUGGUCUGAGAGGACGACCAGCCACACUGGGACUGAGACACGGCCCAGACUCCUACGGGUGGCAG